GAAGAAUUGUAAUGAGUUAUACAUUCAAGUGCAACAACACAGAAAAAAUCGCCUGAUUCGUUAAAGUUUUCCGACGUGAGAAGAAAUCUCUAAUACAGUGAUUUAAAAACUUGAGAAAAUUAUUUAAAUAAAUAAUUAGUUUAAAAAAGUAAAUGAAUUAUUCAUGCAAACUAUUAAUUUAAACAAUUAUAUAAAUUGUAAAUUCAUCAUGUCGUUUACUACCGUGCAUUACAAUCUUCGUACAAGAAAGAGAGUGGAAAUGACGAAAGGAGAAAGAGAGAUAAAAAAAGAAAUCUUCGAGCAAAGAGGGACUUCGCAGAAUUGUACGUCGUGGCUUUAUUUGAGGAAAUAGAACGAGGUCCUGACGGAGGGCUACAAAAAUAGAAGAAAUUCACAGAAAUACUUUUUUUUUCAUUCCUCAAACAUCUACGUGUCAUCAACAAGAAUAUAGCGUACAAUCGAUAACAGAGGGCCGGAGGAGGAGUGCAUAAAUUUUAAGAAGCAACGAACGAGUUUUACGAUGCACGUUGGACGGUUACAAGGUGGUUCGAAAGCAUCAUAAAUCGAGAGAAGGGUUUGGUGGGUCUACCCUGUUCGGAGGGGUCUAGCUAGAAAUUCGUCUUCUCGGAAAACGACGAACUGGGCUAAUGACCUGCGUACGCCUGCGAAAUACAUACAGUUCGCCGUAGCCAAUGCUAAUUUUACUGGUCAACUUCAUCGAUGCCUCCACGGCCCUUGGAUUACAGGCCCGUUCAUAAAUUAUGAUCGACGAAUCAAAAAAUUAAACUUUGAUCGAAUCGAAUCCAGACAAAAUAAUGAAUGGAAAAAAAUAAUCAACUAUUUAUCCGUUAUUUGUUAAACAGAAAGUAGGAUUCGAAUUAUAGAAUGGAUUAUUUUUAACGAAGAAGUGUGUUUGUAUUCGAAUAAAAUUUUAUCUGUCCUCGACCAGUAUACUAAAUAGUAAAAUAGUUUUUAUGUUACAAUUUGUUAUGUUAAUUACCGAUUUAUAGCGAGAAUUUGUAAAUGUGAACGAUUAUUAAAUUUCAUUUCGUUAAUUAUUUAAAGAGGUACAUAAAAAACAAACAUGUACAAUACUACACCAAUUAAAUGCUAUUUCUAACUUGUCCUCAAUUAUAUAUGCAAAUAUUCAGUUGCAACUGUUUCGAUACUGGAAAUAACUUUUCAAUAACUCUCAGCAUGACCUUCGUAUAAAAACUACAUUUUUAAUUCGAUGCAUAUUAACUGAAAUUGAUUUUUUCUUAUAAGUAUAAUUGUUCGGAACUCGAGAUUAUUUAUAAAGAUGUCUAAUAACCAUUCUCAUUAAUAAUUAUUAGUUCAUAUAAAUCUUUAUAAAAAUAUAAGUUACAAAAUUAUAUUUAUAUAAUUUGAUAGUUUCUUGUUACGAUGUAAAAUUUUUUAUAUAAAUGUUUAAUAAACGACGGUAAUAGUUGAAAAACGAUUUUCAAUGAAAAUCUUUCCCACGUUAACCUUUACAACAGCUAUAAAAAAAGAAAGAUAUUACCGCAGAAACAUUCGCGUGCAAACAUUCAACUACAAACAAAAAAAACAUAAUUGGAAUUCCGAGUACAAUUGAAUGAAAUUGUUUGCAAUCAAAAUAAAUAGAUUCUUGGGAAUUGCAAUUUAACAGUCACCAUUGCUGAAUGAUACUGUAGUUGGCCUCGUUAUCGGGCAAGAUUUCCAGCAAGUAUAAAUGAGAAGAGGUUCCCCGAAUGAGUGGUAACACGGAUUUUAUCUCUCACAGAUAAGCUUGAAUUUUAUUUUACAAGGCUUCGGGGAAAUGAACCUGCUUCCGUGUACGUUCCUCUUUUGUUGUCACAAGCAUUUAAAACGUCAAUAUCCAGUCAUCGAUUACUUUCAAUUUUUUUUUUUUUUUUUUAUAUAUAUAUAGCAUACUAAAAGAAGUAAAACAAACAUUAAAUAUAUUUGUAUAUUUAGUAUACGUAUUCGUGUAUUUAUAUUCACGUGAUUGGAUUUAUCGAAUAGUUUUUUUUAAAUAGUACCGGGGGUAACUUAAUAAUAUUCUCUACAAUGUUAAAUGUAAUUAUACAAUUUACUUUAGUAUUGUUAUAAUUAUAUUUCAAUGAAACUUGUAAUUUCUACGGGAUUUAAAAUACUAAUAAAUACUUCGGCCAAUACAAAGUUUGUUUGAAAUUGUAAAUUUCAUUAAUUGAAAAAAAGAAAAUUGAAAUUUUCAAACUAUUAUGCCAUGAAGCGUUUAGGUAAAUUAUAAUAUAAAAAAUGAACUAAAUAUGCAAACAUACUUAAUAAUCGUUUCUUGUAAAGUAAUUCAGAAGAAACAAAACAAGAAAAAAAAAGAAAAAAAAAAGAAAUGAUACGACUAUACCGGCAACCCUAAGUCUGUUAGCAUUAGAGAUACAACGAACAUAAAACAUUUAAUAUGUUUUCUCGUUAAAGCGAAUGGGAUCCGUUCAACGAACGAAAAGUUCACGACAUUCCGAGAAAAAAUAAUCAUAAAAGCGCGUAGGUAUUGCCGACAACAACGAAAUCCAUUUAAUAUUCAUAAUCGAGAGGUUAAAAGAAAUGCAAAUUUAUUAAGAACGAGAAUUUGACGAGGAAAAAUGAUAAGACACUGUUCAACUGUCACAAAAAGAAUUUAAGAAAAAAGAAAAGAAAGAACAGCAUAUUUCCGAGAAGC